rnacentral:rRNA from 1 species
CCAAUAGCGUAUAUUAAAGUUGUUGCAGUUAAAAAGCUCGUAGUUGAAUUUCGGGAUCAGUAGGUUGGUCGUGCCACUGGUAUGUACUGGUCUCACUGGUUCCUCCUUCUUGUAGAACCGUAAUGCCAUUAAGUUGGUGUUGCGGGGAAACAGGACUGUUACUUUGAAAAAAUUAGAGUGUUUAAAGCAGGCUAACGCUUGAAUACAUUAGCAUGGAAUAAUGAAAUAGGACGAACGAUCCUAUUUUGUUGGUUUCUAGGAUUGACGUAAUGAUUAAUAGGGAUAGUUGGGGGCAUUAGUAUUCAAUUGUCAGAGGUGAAAUUCUUGGAUUUAUUGAAGACUGACUACUGCGAAAGCAUUUGCCAAGGAUGUUUUCAUUAAUCAAGAACGAAAGGUAGGGGAUCGAAGACGAUCAGAUACCGUCGUAGUCUUAACCAUAAACUAUGCCGACUAGGGAUCGGAUGAUGUUAAUUUUUUAAUGACUCAUUCGGCGCCUUACA